rnacentral:rRNA from 1 species
AUUGAACGCUGGCGGCAGGCUUAACACAUGCAAGUCGAGCGGGGGAAGGUAGCUUGCUACCGGACCUAGCGGCGGACGGGUGAGUAAUGCUUAGGAAUCUGCCUAUUAGUGGGGGACAACAUCUCGAAAGGGAUGCUAAUACCGCAUACGUCCUACGGGAGAAAGCAGGGGAUCUUCGGACCUUGCGCUAAUAGAUGAGCCUAAGUCGGAUUAGCUAGUUGGUGGGGUAAAGGCCUACCAAGGCGACGAUCUGUAGCGGGUCUGAGAGGAUGAUCCGCCACACUGGGACUGAGGCACGGCCCAGACUCCUACGGGAGGCAGCAGUGGGGAAUAUUGGACAAUGGGGGGAACCCUGAUCCAGCCAUGCCGCGUGUGUGAAGAAGGCCUUAUGGUUGUAAAGCACUUUAAGCGAGGAGGAGGCUACUUUAGUUAAUACCUAGAGAUAGUGGACGUUACUCGCAGAAUAAGCACCGGCUAACUCUGUG